UUCCUUAAUUAACAUUUAAAGAAGCAACGCUGCUAGACAGAGUAGCCAAAACUCUGCUCCGUGGGCUCAAGUAGGACUGUGAGCCAGAGGGUCUCCAGGCAGCCAAGGCCUUGCCUUGAGAGAAUCCAAGACAGACCAGAGGGCUGAGGAGACCAGAUCUGUAGAGAAGAGGUCACCCACAGAAUUGGAGAAUCCAUCCUCAACAUACAGGAUUCUGAAGACUAUCCACCUUCAAGAUCACCAUCAUUUUCUAUAGUUUCAGAGUUAUCUUCCAGUGAUAGUGUUUCAGUCACAUCAUGUAUGUCACAUAGCCACAGUAUAUCACCUGUAGCAAAAAGAAAAGAAAAAAAAAGUCUCCAGCAUCCAGAAACAACCACAGAUAUGUUUGUGAUAAGAACAAGAGGUAACUGAUGAAAAAAUUGCCUGGUUUGUUUAUGCAACAGAUUCUCCUUUCUCUAUAAUUGAGAAUCCACACUUCAUUAACUUAGUUCAGCCAUUAAGACCAGGAUACAGUCCACCCAACAAAGCAGAUGUCGCAGGCAAAUUGCUGGAUAAAGUGUAUGAAAAAGAAAUUGAGUAGUGUGCAAAGAUCUAGAGGGUAAAAUUGCUCCACCCAUCAAGACUCAGGUUAACAAUGUCCACAAUGAUCCUGUUGUAUGUGCUUGUGUGGCAACAGAAAAAGGGAAUGUGUUCCUUACAGGAACUAUACAUCAGGAAAUGCAUACCCAGAAAAAUACUUACAAGAAGUAGCAGUAAAAGCUAUAACAAACUGUGAAAAAAAAUUCAAAUGUCUAGUACGCAGCUUGGUCACAGACCAUGCUGCAAAUGUAUCCAAGAUGAGAAGAAAUUUAGAAGAGAGUCCCAACCUAAUAACAUACGGUUGCAGUGCUCAUUUGAUGCACCUCCUAGCCAAAGACUCCAGUGUUCCAGAAAUAAAGGCUAAUGUUGUUGAAAUUGCAAAAUACUUCAGUAACAACCACUUUGCAGCAGCUGCUCUGAAAAAAGUGGGAGGAACCAAGCUAACUCUCCCACAAGACAUGUGAUGGAACUCAGUAGUAGACUGUUUUGAGCACUAUAUCAAGAACUGGCCUAAUCGGAUGACAAUUUGUGAACAAAGUCAUGAAAAAAAUAGAUGGCACUGUCACAGCCAAAGUUCUCAACAUUGGGCUUAAGAGAAAUGUUGAACACAUGCUGAGUACCCUGAAGCCUAUUUCUGUAGCCUUGAACAAAAUGCAGCAAAAUAGCGGUUUUAUUGCUGACCCUGUUGAAAUUUGGAAGGAACUGAGUGAGACCUUAAAGAGAGAAAUAUGCAAUGACAGAGUUAAAUUACAAGCAUUAACACACAAAACAAAUGGGACAAGCACUAUCUCCAGCUCAUUUUCUUGCAAAUAUCUUCAAUACUUGAUACCACGGUCAAACCUUAACUGCUGAAGAAGAGGAGUUGGCUAGGACAUGGACAUCCUACAGUUAUCCAUAAUGCCAACUAUAAUAAACAUCAGAGCUAAGGGUGAACCAUUCAAGAAAUAUAUGUUUGCUGAUGUUUUAAAGAAAGUCACACUAGUGAUUUGGUGGAAGUCACGUAAGUUCUUGGAUUCAGAGACUGGUGAAGUGAAAAAUCUCACUUUUAACAGCAGUAGCGUCUUCUUCCAGUGUAAAAAGUCCAAACUGGGAAGAAAAUAUUCUAAUUCAUUCCAAAUUGAGAAAUCAUUUGGGAUCUGAAAAAAGCAGGAAAGCUUGUUUUUCUUUUCCAGAUUAUGAACAAACAGGAAAAUGAAGGUGAAGACGACUAAGUUAGCUGCAGAAGCCAAUAUUUUAAGUUUCUCGUGUUGACCUGGCUGACAGUCUAUUUAAUUUUUGGUUUUGUGUUUAAAUAUUUCAUUUAAAAUUGUUUUUAACUAAAAUAGUUAGCAAAAACAAACCUGGUUUAAAAAAAAUGGAAUGUUUAACUAAAUUCAAAAAUUCAUAUGCUUGUUUUGUUAAAAUAUGAUGUUUGCUGUUGAAGAAAAAAUAAUCCAGAAUACAUAAAGUAGCUGUUUUAGUUAAACAAAACAAUUUAAAUGUCUGUCUGGUGAUGUUCUCCUCCUAAUAAAGGAUGGCAAGAAUAUCCUCCAAAUAUUAGUGAUUAACCUAUUGAAUUAGAGAUAUAUAUGAAGUCAUUGGGAGGUGAACUAUCUGCUUCAAUUACCUUUGGUAAAUGAAAUAACCAAACAGUCAUUCAUUUUCUGAUAUAACUGUAAAACUCAUCAGAAAAGUUUUCAAAAUAAAUCACUUUAAAAAU